AGCAGGGUAGCACAGUGGAAGCGUGCUGGGCGCACAACCUAGAGGUCAAUGAAUCGAGACCACUUCCUGCUA